UACGUAGGGUCCGAGCGUUGUCCGGAGUUACUGGGCGUAAAGCGCGCGCAGGCGGCGGUGCUGGCCCGGCGUGAAAGCCCCCGGCUCAACCGGGGAGAGUCGUCGGGGACCGCACGCUUGAGGGCGGUAGGGGCGUGGUGGAAUGCCUGGUGUAGUGGUGAAAAUGCGUAGAGAUCAGGCAGAACACCUGGGGCGAAGGCGGCCA
rnacentral:rRNA from 1 species